rnacentral:tRNA from 1 species
UGUAGAUAGGUGUUUUGAAGCAUAGAAGACUUUGAUUCUUAAGGAUGAGUUUAAUUCUCAAUUCUACAA